UUUGUUCUCCUUUUCUUCCGUUUCUCACCCGACCCAAGCCACGUCGCCCUUUCUUCUUCCCCAUCUCGCCGAUUCCCUUUCUCCCCUUCGCUUCCUCUGCGCCACCCUCCGAAGCCCGCUACGGCGUCGGCAGAUCGCCGACCUCGCGCACUCCACACUGGUAGAGCCUCCCUCUCUCAGCCGAUGUCGCGCCACACGCCACCGUCCAGCGCUGGUUCUUCCUUCUCCUUCCCUUUUCUCUUCGAGAUGUUGCCGACCACCGCCCAGAGGACGAUCGCCUCUCACUGAUGUUGAUUCUUGAGAGCCUUCGAGUGCCGGAUUCCCGAGUGCUGCCUCUCGGAGCAGCGCCGUCGUCGAUCUCCACUGUCGGCCCCUUCUUCCUUCAACCGAUUGUGUCCGUGCCCUACUCAGCCGAAGGUCAAUCACCUCUCCUUGACGACGGUUAUUGAGAGCUUUCGAAUGCCACACGAGUGUCGUUUCUUGGAGCAACACCGUCGUCUCCCUCUCGAGGGUGUUCUUCGUCUUCGAGCCGAGCCCUAGCUGCUUCUCGUGGAGGCUGAUUUUCCCCUCCUCAUCACCAGAUUUGGAUCAAGGAGGUUCAGCAACACCUUCUCACCGGAUCUUGGAGUAUUCAAGAUCAUCCUCCGGCCGUCCAUCUGGUUCCAGCACCAGUACGGGAUCCUACUUCUGAUCAGAUGUGAAGUUUCUAGCAAGAUUCGUAGAUUUGAUGAUCGAUUGAUUGGAUGUUGAGGUUGAAGGGGGCAGCAGCUCCGGCCAUCAUUUUCCAGCAAUGAGUUUCUCCGGUUGCGGGUUAAUAAUGGAGUGCUCAAUUUCGGACUUGGGUUCGAGGCGAGCGUCUCAAUGUGGGGGUUGUAUUUGGCACGAUCUACAUUUAAGGCGGGU